UCCCUGGUGGUCCAGUGGUUAAGACUUGGUGCUAUCAUUGCCAGGGCCCAGGUUCGAUCCCGGGUCAGGGAA